rnacentral:rRNA from 1 species
AUUGAACGCUGGCGGCAGGCCUAACACAUGCAAGUCGAGCUGAGCGGCGGACUGGUGAGUAAUGCCUAGGAAUCUGCCUGGUAGUGGGGGAUAACGUCCGGAAACGGGCGCUAAUAACGCCUACUACCAGAUGAGCCUAGGUCGGAUUAGCUCGUUGGUGGGGUAAAGGCCUACCAAGGCGACGAUCCGUAACUGGUCUGAGAGGAUGAUCAGUAACACGGGAACUGAGACACGGUCCAGACUCAUACGGGAGGCAGCAGUGGGGAAUAUUGGACAAUGGGCGAAAGCCUGAUCCAGCCAUGCCGGGUGUGGGAAGAAGGUCGUCGGAUUGUAAAGCACUUUAAGUUGGGAGGCGUUACCAACAGAAUAAGCACCGGCUAACUUCGUGCCAGCGGCCGCGGUAAUAC